rnacentral:misc_RNA from 1 species
UCCGGUUUGGCACCGGCAGUCCCUCUAGAGUCCUCGGCUUUCACCCGCUUUAACUAGCAUGUCAAGCCUAGGUAAGGUUCUUCGCGUUGCAUCGAAUUAAGCCACAUGCUCCGCCGCUUGUGCGGGCCCCCGUCAAUUCCUUUGAGUUUUAGCCUUGCGGCCGUACUCCCCAGGCGGAGUGCUUAAUGCGUUAGCUGCGGCACAGAGAGGGUUGAAGACCUCCCCACACCUAGCACUCAACGUUUACGGCUGGGACUAC